AUUGAACGCUGGCGGCAGGCCUAACACAUGCAAGUCGAACGAGUGGCGGACGGGUGAGUAAUGUCUGGGAAACUGCCUGAUGGAGGGGGAUAACUACUGGAAACGGUAGCAAAUACCGCAAACUAUCGGAUGUGCCCAGUGGGGAUUAGCUGGUAGGGGGGGUAAAGGCUCACCUAGGCGACGCGCCCUAGCUGGUCUGAGAGGAUGACCAGCCACACUGGAACUGAGAAACGGUCAGGACGCCUACGGGAGGCAGCGUUGGGGAAUAUUGCACAAUGGGCGCAAGCCUGAGGCAGCCAUGCCGCGUGUAUGAAGAAGGCCUUCGGGUUGUAAAGUACUUUCAGCGGGGAGGCGUUACCCGCAGAAGAAGCACCGGCUAACUCCGUGCCAGCAGCCGCGGUAAUAC
rnacentral:rRNA from 1 species